UGGGGAAUAUUGCGCAAUGGGGGAAACCCUGACGCAGCGACGCCGCGUGCGGGAUGAAGGCCUUCGGGUUGUAAACCGCUUUUGAUUGGGAGCAAGCCUUUUGGGUGAGUGUACCUUUCGAAUAAGCGCCGGCUAACUACGUGCCAGCAGCCGCGGUAAUACGUAGGGCGCAAGCGUUAUCCGGAUUUACUGGGCGUAAAGGGUGCGUAGGUGGUCUUUCAAGUCGGUGGUUAAAGGCUACGGCUCAACCGUAGUUAGCCUCCGAAACUGGAAGACUUGAGUGCAGGAGAGGAAAGUGGAAUUCCCAGUGUAGCGGUGAAAUGCGUAGAUAUUGGGAGGAACACCAGUAGCGAAGGCGGCUUUCUGGACUGCAACUGACACUGAGGCACGAAAGCGUGGGUAGCAAACAGG
rnacentral:rRNA from 1 species